AAGUCGUAACAAGGUUUCCGUAGGUGAACUUGCGGAAGGAUCAUUACUGAGAUGGGGGUCCCCAACGGGGCCCGACCUCCAACCCUGUGUUUACCGACUCUGUUGCCUCGGCGGGCCGUCGAUGAAAGUCGCCGCGGGCCCUUCUCUUGGGUCUUCGUGCGCCCGCCGGUGGAAUACCAUCAAAACCCUUUCUAAAAUGCGAAUCUGAGUCUACACAAAAUAACUUCAAAA
rnacentral:misc_RNA from 1 species